AUCUUAGUCCGGAUUGCAGUCUGCAACUCGACUGCAUGAAGUCGGAAUCGCUAGUAAUCGCGGAUCAGAAUGCCGCGGUGAAUACGUUCCCGGGCCUUGUACACACCGCCCGUCACACCAUGGGAGUUUACUGCACCAGAAGUAGUUAGCCUAACCGCAAGGAGGGCGAUUACCACGGUGUGGUCGAUGACUGGGGUGAAGUCGUAACAAGGGAGCCGUA
rnacentral:rRNA from 1 species